rnacentral:rRNA from 1 species
GCGUAGAGAUCUGGAGGAAUACCGGUGGCGAAGGCGGCCCCCUGGACAAAGACUGACGCUCAGGUGCGAAAGCGUGGGGAGCAAACAGGAUUAGAUACCCUGGUAGUCCACGCCGUAAACGAUGUCUACUUGGAGGUUGUGCCCUUGAGGCGUGGCUUCCGGAGCUAACGCGUUAAGUAGACCGCCUGGGGAGUACGGCCGCAAGGUUAAAACUCAAAUGAAUUGACGGGGGCCCGCACAAGCGGUGGAGCAUGUGGUUUAAUUCGAUGCAACGCGAAGAACCUUACCUGGUCUUGACAUCCACAGAACUUUCCAGAGAUGGAUUGGUGCCUUCGGGAACUGUGAGACAGGUGCUGCAUGGCUGUCGUCAGCUCGUGUUGUGAAAUGUUGGGUUAAGUCCCGCAACGAGCGCAAC